GGCACGAUGUCGGAGUGGUUAACGAGUGAGACUUGAAUUGUCAAGAAUCUUCUUAACAAGAAAUUCUUGUAUAUUGCUAUCUCAUGCCUUCGGGCGCGCAGGUUCGAAUCCUGCUCGUGUCG
rnacentral:tRNA from 1 species